rnacentral:lncRNA from 1 species
UAACCAGAUAUUAGUAUGAUCAAGACAGAUGCAGACACAAUUCAGGAAUACGUUCCUAGGUACUAAAGUCUCCCCUUCUCUUUUUCCCUAGGAAACUGCUCGGAGAACUCAUGCAAGCGGAGCUUACAGUUUCCCUGAUCAGACUCAGCAUUCACCCGGGGCACAAAGAAGAGGGUCAUAAGCUGUGAGUGGAAGAAGUCAGAAAGCUAUAGAACAAAAAUAAUCAUCUAUUUAUCCUGUCCAUACUUCAGGUUAGUAUGCAAAGUUGUUGGUGACUUUGAGAAAUAAUUCAUACAGCACU